UGGGUAGUCCGUACGAGCGCACCCUAUCCUUAGUUGCCAGCGAGUAAUGUCGGGAACUUUAGGGAGACUGCCGGUGACAAACCGGAGGAAGGUGGGGACGAGGUCAAGUCAUCAUGGCCCUUAUGGGCAGGGCUACACACGUGCUACAAUGGCCGGUACAGAGGGUAGCGAAGCGGCGACGUGGAGCAAAUCUCAGAAAACCGGUCGUAGUCCGGAUUGCAGUCUGCAACUCGACUGCAUGAAGUCGGAAUCGCUAGUAAUCGCGGAUCAGAACGCCGCGGUGAAUACGUUCCCGGGCCUUGUACACACCGCCCGUCACACCAUGGGAGUGGGCUGUACCAGAAGUAGGUAGUCUAACCUUCGGGGGGACGCUUACCACGGUGUGGUUCAUGACUGGGGUGAAGUCGUAACAAGGUAGCCGUAGGGGAACCUGCGGCUGGAUCACCUCCUU
rnacentral:rRNA from 1 species